AUCAAUAUGUUGUCACACUCCUGCCUAGUGACCAAAAAGAUAUAAAAACUAUUUGCUUUAGAAACUUAGGGUCCUUCUCUUCUCAGAGAGAAACCCCAGCGCGUUGGAAUAAAAUCCUUUUGCUUUUGCAUCGAACUUUCGUCCUGUGAGUGACUUUAUAGGGUACGUCUCCCCAAGUUGGACCCCCCCCACUUUUGGGGUCCAACAGUGUGUGUGUGUGUGUGUGUGUGUGUGUGUGUGUGUGUGUGUAGUGUGUGUAGACCAGAAGGCAACUUUUAGUAUUGUUCCCUGGGAGCUAUCCACCUUAGUUUUUUAAACAGGGUCCUCCAUUGACUUAGGGUAAUCAAUUUGACUAAGCUGGCCAGUGAGCCUCAGGGAUCUACCUGUCUCCAUCUCCCCCAGCACUGAGGAUUACAAAUGCCUGCCAUCAUGCCUGGUUUUUCAAACAGCUAAGGGAUCAAACACAGGUCCUCAUCCUUGUGCAAUGAGCACUUUACUGACUGAGCUAUCCCAAACCAGCCCCUAUGCUCCAAGUCUUUACCCUCCAGGUCUAGCUUUAGCACAUCGGUGAACCUUGGCUGAACCGAUUUUUACCUUUACAGUUGGCAUGUGUUGAUUUUCCAGUUGAUUGUUUCUAUCACAUUUUUCAGAGGGAGGGGCUUUCUCCCAUAGGAAAGACUGUUCAUUUCUUCACUGUUGUAAAUGCGUGUAUUUGUAUCAGCAGAAGCUGGAAGAAGGGAGAGAAUAACGUCCGGGUAUUUAUUGCACCAUCCUUCCUUGCAGCCUCACCACUGGCUGACCGGUGAUCACACCCAGGGUUAUGAUGGUGUUGGGUGGCCCUAGGACAGCUCCAUCUUUGCCAUUUCUGGAAAUGAAUCCUUCCUAUCAGCCACACAAGCCUAGAGGACUGCCAUGGGAUGCAUGACAUCAUUUCCAUCAAUGAUGAGCCAAAAGUACACUGGAGUCCCAUGACGUUAAAAUGGAGCUGAAACACUCCUAUUCAGGAAAAGGAGAAUCUGGGUGUGGUGGUAACACAACAAAUCCAGCACUUGGAAAAGAGAAGCAGGAACUCAAAGUCACCCUUAGAUAUAGCAUGUGUGAGGCCGGCUGGACGCAGGAACUAUGUGUGAGGCCAGCUGGACACAGGAAAGCUUGUCUGAAGCCCCAUCCCUCAAAAACCCCACAGCAGAGCAUCUGCCUAACAUGUAUAGACUUUGGUUCCAUCUCUACCACUAGGAAAAAGAUUUCCAUCGUCUGGUGUCCCAGUCAUCUUUAACUGUCAACUGGACAGGGCCAAGAGUUUAGGAAGGAGUCUCAACAGAAGAAUUGCCCAGAAGAGAGUGGCCUGUGGGCAUACCUGGCAGUGAUUGCCUUAACUGAUGGAGGAGGACCCAGCCUGCUGUAGGCAGCACAAUUCUAUGGACUUGUGGUCCUGGUGUGUAUGAGAAAGCCAGCUAUGCCUCAACCUGCAAGACAUCAAGGAAGUAGCUUCUCCAUGGUUUCUGCUUGAGUCCCUGCCCUUGCUUCCUAUAGUGACAGACUAUACCCUAAAAGCUGAACUAAACAUCUCCUCACUUACAAUGUUGCUGGCCAUGGUAUCUGUUAUAGCAGAAGGAUGACCCUGUAGUAAUGUCACAACCAUCACAAAGUCACAAGACAACAACUCCUUAUGAGUGUGUUUUUUUGGUGAUGAUAAGCAAACCUCCUACACUGUCAGUCAAGUAAAAGCACAUAUAUGAUUUGGCACGGCCAAUAAUACUUGACCAUGGUAAUAACUGGUGUUCCUGGUUGAUCUAGUAGCUAAAAUAAGAAUUAGACAUGACUAAUCACUAAAAGCAUUUGUCACAUUAGCACAUUCAGAAAAGGUGAUUUUUAAAAAUUUUAUAUGAGAAGAUGCAGGUUGUAACCUGUCUCCCCCCACCCUUUUUUUUCCUUCAGUUUAAAACUAUCCAAAUUGGGAUGGGGUGAUGAGUGAUGGCACAGUGAUUAAGAAUAAGUGUCGCCUUGCAGAGGAUCAGAGUUCAAUUCCUAGCAAGUAUUUCAGGUGGCUUACAACUACUGGUAAC
rnacentral:lncRNA from 1 species